rnacentral:rRNA from 1 species
UACGUAGGGUGCGAGCGUUAAUCGGAAUUACUGGGCGUAAAGCGUGCGCAGGCGGUUUUAUAAGACAGAUGUGAAAUCCCCGGGCUUAACCUGGGAACUGCGUUUGUGACUGUAAGACUAGAGUGCGGCAGAGGGGGGUGGAAUUCCACGUGUAGCAGUGAAAUGCGUUGAGAUGUGGAGAAACACCGAUGGCGAAGGCAGCCCCCUGGGUCGACACUGACGCUCAUGCACGAAAGCGUGGGGAGCAAACAGG